UACGUAGGUGACCAGCGUUGUCCGGAUUUACUGGGCGUAAAGGGCGUGCAGGCGGUCUGUUAAGUGCAGGGUGAAAGCUCCCGGCUCAACUGGGAGAGGUCCUUGCAUACUGGCGGAGCUUGAGGGGGGUAGAGGAAAGUGGAAUUCCCGGUGUAGUGGUGAUAUGCGUAGAUAUCGGGAGGAACACCUGUGGCGAAGGCGGCUUUCUGGGCCCUACCUGACGCUGAGACGCGAAAGCGUGGGGGAGCGAACCGG
rnacentral:rRNA from 1 species